CACUCCCAUCAUCUGUCCAGUCCCUGUGUUCUAGUCGUGUCGUUUAGAAAGGUAGGGAGCCUGUGUUUGGCUCUGGGAAAAACAACCCAACCACCUUGUUAUGGCGAGAGGUUUAUCUCAAUGAGCAUGCCAACGGUGCCAUCUCAGAGAACUGCGCUAAUAUGGCAGUGGAACAACGGACACAAAUACAGCCCUACCUUACUUCCACAAGGUAAAUCAUUGGCGAUGGUGAACAUAAUAGAAUGAAAGAAAAAUGACUUUCAGGUGCCAAGACAGAUCACAUCCAGUACAUAAACAACUAGAGCUUUCCUCCGCGUCACAAAGAACAGAAGUGGAGCGCAGCUGGUGAAGAUAACAGCCUGUUAUUGCAAGAAGCGGGUGCAGUUCAUUUGGGGACCUGAGCCCUAGGACCAUGCCCCAGAACUACCUGACAU